UUCUUCCUGCGUGGUGCGUGAUAUUGUGAUAUUUGAACCUACACACAUUGCUAGGGAGCAUCGGCUUCUGCCUUCGGGAUGCAGGCCUCCCGCCAAGAGCGCAUCGUUUCGUACGACCCUCUUCAAGCGGACGUUGGAAGCGCAAAGGGGCAGAGAGAGCACCCACCUGGAAAAAACCGGGUUAAACUUUUGCUUUACACGGCCAUGCGGGUUUCAA
rnacentral:other from 1 species